rnacentral:rRNA from 1 species
AUGUUUCACAAGCACAUUGCCCAAUCAGCAGCAUGCCCUCGUUGUCAAGACCCGAAUGAGGAUGCUCUCCAUCUCAUCUCCAACUGUUCUUAUGCGACACAGGUUUGGUCUUCCUUGGGUCUGCCGGCUCCAACCUCCCUUGCUGCUCUCCACCAACACCCAACGAUUCUGGGCCUCAACCCCAACAUCUGGCCAUCAGUGGCUCUGACUGUUUCAUGGAAGCUAUGGGAUUCGAGAAACGCUCUCGUGUUCAGAAACGAGGAUCACUCCCACAGAACUACGAUAAGAAAUAUUGUAGCAGAUUUCUCCCUCUGGGUUUUCCGGUUCAAAAAGAAAGAAGGCAAUAUCUCUACUAGGCAAUGGCUUAACUUUCUCUCUUCAGCAAUCCCCUAA